UGGCGGACGGGUGAGUAACGCGUGGGCAACCUGCCCCGUGCCGGGGGAUACCGCCUGGAAACAGGCGCUAAUACCGCAUAAGCGCAUACAGCCGCAUGGCAGUAUGCGGAAAGCUCCGGCGGCACGGGAUGGGCCCGCGCCCGAUUAGCCAGUUGGCGGGGUAACGGCCCACCAAAGCGACGAUCGGUAGCCGGCCUGAGAGGGCGGACGGCCACAUUGGGACUGAGACACGGCCCAAACUCCUACGGGAGGCAGCAG
rnacentral:rRNA from 1 species